rnacentral:rRNA from 1 species
UUGAACGCUGGCGGCAGGCCUAACACAUGCAAGUCGAACGGUAACAGGAAGAAGCUUGCUUCUUUGCUGACGAGUGGCGGACGGGUGAGUAAUGUCUGGGAAACUGCCUGAUGGAGGGGGAUAACUACUGGAAACGGUAGCUAAUACCGCAUAACGUCGCAAGACCAAAGAGGGGGACCUUCGGGCCUCUUGCCAUCGGAUGUGCCCAGAUGGGAUUAGCUAGUAGGUGGGGUAACGGCUCACCUAGGCGACGAUCCCUAGCUGGUCUGAGAGGAUGACCAGCCACACUGGAACUGAGACACGGUCCAGACUCCUACGGGAGGCAGCAGUGGGGAAUAUUGCACAAUGGGCGCAAGCCUGAUGCAGCCAUGCCGCGUGUAUGAAGAAGGCCUUCGGGUUGUAAAGUACUUUCAGCGGGGAGGAAGGGAGUAAAGUUAAUACCUUUGCUCAUUGACGUUACCCGCAGAAGAAGCACCGGCUAACUCCGUGCCAGCAGCCGCGGUAAUACGGAGGGUGCAAGCGUUAAUCGGAAUUACUGGGCGUAAAGCGCACGCAGGCGGUUUGUUAAGUCAGAUGUGAAAUCCCCGGGCUCAACCUGGGAACUGCAUCUGAUACUGGCAAGCUUGAGUCUCGUAGAGGGGGGUAGAAUUCCAGGUGUAGCGGUGAAAUGCGUAGAGAUCUGGAGGAAUACCGGUGGCGAAGGCGGCCCCCUGGACGAAGACUGACGCUCAGGUGCGAAAGCGUGGGGAGCAAACAGGAUUAGAUAACCUGGUAGUCCACGCCGUAAACGAUGUCGACUUGGAGGUUGUGCCCUUGAGGCGUGGCUUCCGGAGCUAACGCGUUAAGUCGACCGCCUGGGGAGUACGGCCGCAAGGUUAAAACUCAAAUGAAUUGACGGGGGCCCGCACAAGCGGUGGAGCAUGUGGUUUAAUUCGAUGCAACGCGAAGAACCUUACCUGGUCUUGACAUCCACAGAACUUUCCAGAGAUGGAUUGGUGCCUUCGGGAACUGUGAGACAGGUGCUGCAUGGCUGUCGUCAGCUCGUGUUGUGAAAUGUUGGGUUAAGUCCCGCAACGAGCGCAACCCUUAUCCUUUGUUGCCAGCGGUCCGGCCGGGAACUCAAAGGAGACUGCCAGUGAUAAACUGGAGGAAGGUGGGGAUGACGUCAAGUCAUCAUGGCCCUUACGACCAGGGCUACACACGUGCUACAAUGGCGCAUACAAAGAGAAGCGACCUCGCGAGAGCAAGCGGACCUCAUAAAGUGCGUCGUAGUCCGGAUUGGAGUCUGCAACUCGACUCCAUGAAGUCGGAAUCGCUAGUAAUCGUGGAUCAGAAUGCCACGGUGAAUACGUUCCCGGGCCUUGUACACACCGCCCGUCACACCAUGGGAGUGGGUUGCAAAAGAAGUAGGUAGCUUAACCUUCGGGAGGGCGCUUACCACUUUGUGAUUCAUGACUGGGGUG